GAUGAACGCUGGCGGCGUGCCUAAUACAUGCAAGUCGAGCGAACGGACGAGAAGCUUGCUUCUCUGAUGUUAGCGGCGGACGGGUGAGUAACACGUGGAUAACCUACCUAUAAGACUGGGAUAACUUCGGGAAACCGGAGCUAAUACCGGAUAAUAUUUUGAACCGCAUGGUUCAAAAGUAAAAGACGGUCUUGCUGUCACUUAUAGAUGGAUCCGCGCUGCAUUAGCUAGUUGGUCAGGUAACGGCUUACCAAGGCAACGAUGCAUAGCCGACCUGAGAGAGUGGUAGCCCGCACUGGAACUGAGACGCGGACCAGGGUCCUGAGGGAGGGAGCAGUAGCGAAUCUGACGCAAUGGGCGAGAACAUGACGGAACAACGCCGCGUGAGUGAUGACAAUCUUCGGAUCGUGAAACCCUGUUAUUAGGGAAGAACAUAUGUGUAAGUAACUGUAGAGAGCUUGACGGUAACUAAUAAGAAAGCCACGGCUAACUACGUG
rnacentral:rRNA from 1 species